UAUGUCUUACUUUUUCCACUCAACACAAUCCAUGGGCACAUCUACAGUGUUAGAAAAAAAUGAAAGCAACUGGAGUUUCAAGAUGUCUCAGCUUAUCAGAGCACGCAGAGGCAUCGGAGCUGUGGCACCAGAGCUGUGGCAUUCAGCCUCACGGGACACAGGAAGACUCGGGAAGGUUUUUAAGGAGACAAGAACUGCUUGCCAUGUACACUGCUAGAAA